UCCACACCAAACUUUGGCAUAUAAUACAAUGACAAAGCAAGUCAUUAAUGACCUAGAUUGAGACCUAGCACCUACACCGAGCCCUUACUAGUAUAAAAACCGAACACUAAGUGUGAGUUAUGCACACCAACACCAAAACAAACCCACUAAGAUGGCUUCCUUUGUAUCCUUCCUAGUGCUGCUUCUUGCAGCCCUUAUCCUCAUGCCUCAAGGGCUUGCUACUUACUACAAACCAAUUAAGAAGCCACCAGUGUACAAGCCUCCAGUGUACAAGCCACCAGUGUACAAACCACCGGUUUAUAAGCCAAAACCACCGGUUUACAAGCCGAAACCACCGGUUUACAAGCCACCAUAUAAGAAGCCACCAUACAAGAAACCACCUUAUGGAAAGUACCCUCCAGUAGAGGACAACACCCAUGCCUAAAGCAAGCAAUGAGGUCUAUUAUCUACUUAAUAAAUAAGAGGAACUGCUUUGUGUUUUCUAGCAUUGUGACUUACAACUUCGUAGCAAUGCAUAUUCUUGACUCUUGCAUGCACUUCAAUCCUUCGUAGCAUUAAUGAUGUGGCCAAGUCAUCAUGAGCAUCAUACUUAUUUCUUUGUGAAUGUAAAUCAAAAUUAUAAGAGAGAAAAUGGUGCUUUUGUACUACAGAUUACUAUAAAUAAAAAACUUUUAUGGUUUUCAGAUUGUGCUGGUUGAUUGAUUUGCUCUACCAUUAAUUAUGACGAAACGUAGUUUUUUUUUUUCUCUUUUUUAAUCCGUAAAAAUAAAAAAAAUAAAAAAAUAAAUUUAUAAUAAUUCACACUUUAUUUAAUUAAUCGAAAUAAAUUCCAUAAUAGAUGAUACAUAGUUUGACAUACUAUUGUUAAGCUUAAGAUUAAAGAUCGACCCUAUGUUGCAACUAAACUUUCUACAAUCAAUUUUAUAAAUUGGAUUGGUGCAUGUAAGUCUAGCUAGCUAGAGGCAGAAGAACAGUACUAGAGUAGUAGAUGGAAGCCACUCUCCACGCACCUCAAAUAACUCGCAAUUAAACUUGAGCAUAACAUCAAUAGCGACUUAAGUUAAUUUCAAUUAUGGGCUCUAUUUGAACAAAUUUCUCUAUAAAUAUUUCCAGAAGAAAAUAUUAAGAAAACAAUAAAUUGAACUUCUCAUUUAAGUUAAAAUAAACAUAUUUGUAUAUUUUUUAUAUAAAAACUCUCAUUUAACUUCUCUUAAAAAUAUUGAAGUAUAUAAAUUAAUUUUAGCUUAUGAAAAAAAAAAUCAACUUAUUUUAAUUUUCUAUUCUUAAAAAGCCAUAGUUAUAGUUAAUGUGUACAAAGACCAGUUCCUACGAGAGUUGCUGUAUCCUCCUAAACCAAAUAUCCGAAUACUCCUACUCAGUAAGAAUAUUUUGAUAUCUGUUAAUAAUUUUAUAAUAAAUUAUUUAUUUAAUUUGACAUUUUAAUAUUUAAUUUCUUUCCAAGUUUACCCCUUUUCCAUAUGACCAGUCAACUUAUCCUCUUCAUUCGACUUUAAAAAGAGUGGGUGGUGGUGCGGUGAAGCUGAAAACCACACACAAUGAUGGUGGUGGAGAAUGUGAAAAUGGUUGUGGUCGGAGAAGGAGGUACAAGGGACAAAGUUAACUGAGGAAAAAAAAAACUCAGCGUGAGAGAGGGUCUUUUGAAAAAAAGGACAAAUUUGGAAAGGAGAAAAAAAGUUAAAAAGUGUGUUAACAAGUGUGAAUGCUUAGGUGAUUCAGUUACUUUUUCGCCACAUAUGAUCGGAGGAAUAAACAUUUCUCUUUUUCAUAUUACUAUUUUUGUAUGUUUGUCUACACGUACAUGUGGACGGUUAUUUGUAUCAAGUAUCAACUACAUAUGGGUGUCAAAAUUUAAAACUGAACCGAAUUUAAUGAAUUGAUUCAACAACUCUAAUAUAUAUGUGAUGUGAUUUGAAUUUUAAUAAUUUGCGUACGAUUUUAAUUUAAUUUUGAACCUACUUCAGUACAAAAAUUUACGUAUAAUCUUACUACAAGUACUUAAGUCACCACAAUCAUCUACACUCACAUCUUGAAAAAGUGACAUUGAUAGCAAAUUCAUGAAGUACUCACAGCUAACGUCAUUUGAUGGUUGAAUGAACCCCUCAGCUACCCAUAGCUGAAUGAGUGUUCUCUUAUCAAACUCAAAACCUUUUGGAAACAAUGAACAAUAAGCAAAACAGUUUUCCAAAAAUGAAGGAAGAUGGUCAAAACUCAGUUUAAGGAUUGCAAAGAUUUUGUCCUUCUCUUGAUCUAUCUUUGAAAACCCAACUUCCUUAGAGGCUAUUACUAUGCGCACCCAGCAUAAUUACUGGUACAUCCAGCAUAACAGCAUAAUUCCCGUUUUGUCCUUUCCUAAAAUUGAUACAAAUUGUCAAUUCAUAUAAGAUUUACGGAUUGUCCAAUCUGUAAGUAGCCCAAAUAUUUUUUUAAUUUUUUUUUUAAAAAAAUAUGUUUUAUGAAUUAAUUUAAAAUUAAUGAUUCAUGCAAGAAUCAAACUUAUAACUUUCACGUUAUUAACACGACAUUCUAACCAAUCUCAAUAUUCUUGUCAACCCUUUUAAGUUAUUUUCUUUAUGUUAGUUUUUAACCGAUGUUGAAAGUGCCGAUGUUGAAUGUAUUAUCGUUAACAUCGGUUUUAAAAAAACUGAUGUUAACGUUAAUUUUACAACAUCGUUUAUUUAAAUAACCAAUGUUGAUAAUAAGAAUUACACCCAAAAAAAUGUAUUAAUGUUGAUAGUUAACAUCGGUUUUUUGGAAAAAUCGAUGUUAACGUAACUUAACAUCGGUUUUUUUAUAUAAAAUUGAUGUUAACGUAUGUGUUAAUGUUGACAGUUAACAUCGGUUUUUUGGAAAAACCAAUGUUAACGUAACUUAACAUCGGUUUUUUUACAGAAAACCGAUGUUAACGUAUGUGUUAAUGUUGACAGUUAACAUCGAUUUUCUGUAAAAAAAAAGAAAACCGAUUUUAACGUACGUUAACAUCAGUUUUUUCCAAAAACCCGAUGUUAACGUAUGUGUUAAUGUUGACAAUUAACAUCGGUUUUUCCAAAUAAUCGAUGUUGUUUUCAGGAUUUUUUUUUAAAUAUUCUCUCUGUUUUUACAAAAAAAACCAAAAUUUAACCUGUAAAUUUAAAAUUAGACCACACAGCAUAUAUGAUUUGCAUUUUGCUUUCAAAUAGGUUUUAGCAGAAAACUAGCUAGUAAACUAUUAAAAUGAAACAUCAAUUGUAAAAAAUGUAAUGCAAAGUACGGUAAACUAAUUAAGUAACCUAAAGUUACAUAGUUCCCUAACAUCCUAUGUUUGAUUUCUAACUUUUAGAUAAUAUUGUGCCCACUGCAUGUGAAGCGCCUUGAAUCUCUCUGCUUCCAAUGAUCUAACAUCAUUAAAAUACUGGAUGAUCAAAUAAAAGAUAAAUUAAUGAUGUAAUAACAAUGAUAAGAAAAUCAACUUUGUUUGAAAUAAACAAUUACCGUUUCUCAAUUAUUCCUGAAAGUUCCUGAGAUUAUCGUGGACAUCUAGUGCAUGACGUAAUAGCUGUACUCAGUGUUUCGUUUUUGUCUAUUACACUAAAUACAUAAUGAAAUUUGGAUAUUAAUUAAGCGUUAACUACAAUUAGUGUACACACACAUAAGCAGUAUAUAUAAUUAGAAGUUUAAUUUAAAUCACGUACCUUAACAACAAUCCACCUAGCCGCAGCCUUGGAUUUAGGUUGUGGAGUAUCAUCAAGUCCUUUCAAAGCACUAUUGAAUACGAGGAACAUUAAAAUAUUGAUGUUGUUGAGUUAUGCUAAUGCAAAUAUAUUGAAAACAACAUUGACCUGUUAAUUAUUCCCUUAAGGUAGUUGUCUGGCCUGUUAUGUAAAGAACAAAACCAGACAACUAGGUUUUCCUUAGGCAAAAUGACGACCAUUUGCCAGUGUCCGCUGCAGUGGAGACGAAUAUGGGCUAUUGUAAUAGUAUAGAUUAUUUAAAUUCAGUUGUUGUGUUUGACUUACCAAUUCAGGUAAGCUCCAAGGUAAACAUCGCGUUUUGAACCCUGCAUCCAACUCUUGAUGUAACUUUUCGAUUCAAAUUGUGAUUGCCCAAAUCUCUGAAUGGACUGUGGCUCGAGAAAUCCAUACACAUCGGAAUUCCCCGCUCACAUACUUGUCUCAGUCAGAUGCCUGUGUUGUUAAGACAAAGUUAAUUAUGUAUGAAUUUAAAACAAUUACUUUGUUAAUUAACAGUAAUCUAAAUUGACUUACAAAAUUCACAACUGUAUAACAGAGAUGCUGAGACAUUGACCACCGUGUGCUAUUUCAUACAGAUCUUCAUGCUUUAUGUACAAGGGAAAGUCUGAAUUAAACAGCCCGAACAGGGAAGCAUCCCACAUAACCUUGAGAGGCUUCAAAAACAAUUGUGGGAUGGUCAAUGUCAUCAGAUGCAGAGGAUCAUCGACCUCACGAUCCGGGCUUUUUGGAGGUUUUGCUAGAGACACAACUGCCUGUUAAUCAAACAUAGUUAAUUAACAAGUUUUGAUUACAGUGAACAAAUCAAUUGAAAAAAAGAAACAUAUAAUCAGAGUAAAAUACCUGUUCUGAUAAACGUUUCACGAGAUGUAUCGGCCAAGCAAGGAAGGUGUUAAGUGUCUGCCCCACUAAGGUAACCUUGUCAAUGGGUACAGGAACGGGAGUCUCUGCAUCUUUAACCUCCUCAACACCAACCUUCACUUGGCCAUGCAACAAAGGGAUGUUAUGAACCACUGUGGAUCCCUCAUAAAGUCUUCCUAGGGCAACCAAGUAGGAAGGAUUUUCUUCAAUUUACAGCCCGCAUUUGUCUGAGUCAUCCGUCUCUGGAUCGUUCCCUGAGGAAUCAACACAACUCUUCUUUGUGCUGACACGAGCACUUGAGGGACCAACCUUUGGCUCCGGAGGCAGUGUAAAUCCCUGUGAUUGCAUCUGAGACUGAAACUGGGACUGCAUUUGGCUGAAGGAUGCCAUCACCUGCUGAGUAACUUUUUCUGUGAUCGACUCCUCCAGCUAGUCCCUGAUUUGUUGGGUUAACUGUUGUAGGUCUUCAGGAGGCAUAGAGGAAGAACUACGGGACAUUCGUGUAGCCAAUCCGAAAUAUUGCUUUAUGGUCACAUCAGCUCCAGCAGCACGGACACGGCCAGGGUGCUCUGAUCGCCCAAUGACAACAGUCAGGACAUCCUGACGUCUAUGGGGGACGAACGAUCCCUGUGACGCCUGCUCCUCCAAAGAAUCCUGUACAUAACACAUAUAUCUGUCCAAGGCAUUCACAAAAUACACAAAGAUAAUUACAAUUCUUAAUUGAAAAUGACUUACAAUCUUCUCAGUUAUUUCCUUUGUUGCCUCAGACGUCAUCGGCCCAGUUUUCUUUGUGUAGACCAUUUUUCACUUCAUGUGGCGUCUGAUGGGAGAUGGAGGGUCAAUGACGCCCUCAGUGCUUUCGGAUUGGGCAGCUUCCUCCAGUCUUUUCUUUGUCUUCUCAGCCAUAAGCUUUUGUUCUAAAUAUUCAUAACCCCCACGAAACAACACGUGGGGGGCAGUGUUUUGCUUCUGGAUGACUUGUGUUUUUUUCCGCACAUCCUGCAAAAAUCGAACAUUAAUGAAAAUGAUUACUACAAUGAAUUAUAAGAAGUUAUUUUUUUUGUGGAAAACAACUAAAAUGACAAACUACAUACCUCCCACGAGGGGUCUCUGCGGGUCUGACAAAACUUGGCCCAUUUCUCCUUGCUAAUGUCGCAUUUUUCACAGACAGUGUCGUCCACACCGUCCUUGUCGGCUGCAAGUGCCCAUUUCCUGGUCAAGUCAGAUUUAAACUGCCUCCACGGCUUGUCGACAGUCUGAAGAAUUUUCUUCUUUGUCCUACUGUUAGAAGCUUCAGGGAUUUCAGAUGUUAAGAUCAAGUAGUUAACAUCGGUUUUGACAUCGGUUUUGAAAAAACCGAUGUUAACUAACUCGACUUAUUUACAAAAAUGUCAUCGUGCUUUUCUUAACAUUGGUUUUUUAAAAAAUCGAUGUUAAUCGUGCGAUGUUAAAUCUAUAUUUUGUAGUAGUGUUUAGGUAUCUCAUAAAUUAGUCAAUUUUAUUUUGAGUUCUUAAAUUUUUUUCUUUUUAUUUGAUCCUUGAUAUUUUAUUUUUGAGUUCAUGCCGUUAAAAAUUUUAAAAUGCAAUUUUUUACUACUAAAAAUAAUAACAAUGUAAAUUUAUUUAAAAUAUUAAAUUACCAUUUAUGGCAAUUCAAUUGGAAAAAAUGAAGUAGAUAUGAUCAAAUAAAACCUUACAGACAAGACGAAGUCUAAGGUGGUCAAGUGAGUUAGGUGAUUUCUGGUGGUCAAAUAAUUUUUUGCCAAUAGAUUUAUUAAUAAAAUAUUAAACCAUUCAGAUGAAAUCUUUUUGUCAGUUUUUAACAAUUAAAAUUAUUUCCUCCCUUGUCUGUCGUGCACCACCAUUGGCAACACGUCACUACCUUGCUUUACUUUCCACUCUUCUUCUUUCCCUCUAUUUCCCUUCGUACUUUGACACCUCCGUAACCUCACUGUCAUGUUGUUGAAUUCACAUCCUUGAUUUUAAUUAUGACAAACCAUUAGCAAAACAAAUUGAAAGGAUGAUGGGUUUAAGUGAUGGCUAACAUUUCUCCCAAGCGUUUUAGUGUUUAUUCCUUAAGAAGCAUAAGUGUUCUUUCAUUCUGAUGUACUUAGAAUGAUGCUUAGAAAGGUUCGAAGAAUUGUUGUGAGAGUUGAAAACUUAGAAGAAUCCUUAAAGCCCAUCAAAAUGAUGAAAUUUGCUUCCCUUUGAAUACUUAGUUCUUGGCAAGAUACUGAACAACCUUACAUAAAAGAUUCAUCAAAAGAUUCAUCAAAGGCUACCAGAAGAACAUCUUGGUUUAGAAUGAAGUUAUGCAGAGUCUACAUAGAAUGACAAACACCUUGACUCUGAGUUUCUAAACAUCAGAAUGAUUCAGAAAGACUCAUAAUGCAUCACUUAAACAAUAUUAGAAGAUUAAAGUUUCACAUUUCUUCACUUUGCAUAUGCCACCACAAUCACUGUAGGCACGUUAGAAAGUAAGAAUUGACUGCAUAAAAAGAUGUAAAAUUGUUGAAUGAUGAAGUUGUCCAUGAGAAGCAUUAAUGUAAACCAUCAGAUUGAAGGACUAAAGAAAACUACUCAGCCUGACCAUAGACAAAACACUAACACACCAACAACUCAAUUUCUACUAAGUCUUUCUAAAGUAAAUCAACUUAAGAAUGUUUCAAAGUUGUGAACAAGUGUUAAGAGUGAUGAAGUUGUACGACUUCGGAUUGAAAUUUCUAUCUAAACUUCGUCAAAGGAAUUCAUUAAGCAUGGACUCAUUCUUUACAAACAUCAUAAUGACUAUUGUGAUGGUUCUUCAGAAUCCGCAUAAAAAAAGUUCCUCAGAAUGGUAAUCUCCAAAUGGUUUUGUCUACUGUCACUUCAUGAUAGUUAUAAGGUGAACCUACUUGCUCCAGAAAUGUUUCAGUUGUGUGGAGCCCACUACAAUGAUUUUCUUGGGAGCUUUAUAAGGAAUUUUAGAAGGCUAUGAAGAACAAGUUGAAGCAUUCCAAAUUUGUAUCACAUUGUGCAAGUCCUUUGAGUAAGAAAUUUGUGUUUUAGCUUCAACCCUCUCUGUUAGAGUGACCCACUUUUGUAUUGUGCUUUCAAAGCUUGUAAUAACCUUAGAUAGAAAUGAGAGAUUAAGUUCUUGAGUGGAAUCCCUCAUGUGAGGUGAAAAUCUUUAGCAUGUGUCGUAAAACCAUAGAUAUUUUUUUUUUAUGUAAAGUCCAAUAGUGACUAGCAAAGGUGAAAUCCAGUGGUGCAGCUGGUCUAGUAGAAGAUUGAAGUCUAGUAAGGAAUUGACAAGGUUGUGAAACCCAAUGGUUGUUGGUCCAGUUGUGAAUUGGUUGUGUUACUGAAAUAACAUCUUUAAGGGUGAGGAUUGGACGUAGCCCAAGGUUGGGGUGAACCAGUAUAAAAACCUUUGUGCACUUUCUUCUCUUUCUCUAUAUUUUGUUCUUGCACAAAUCUAAAACUACUUUUGUAUAAAAUACUAAAUUUGUUAACUUUUUAUCUUAACAACUAAACUAAGUUUUGUUUUAUCAAGAGGUAUUAGUAAAGAACUAUCUUUAAAACAAAAGUCUUAAAACUGCAAAAGAACUAUUUUUUUGAAUGGUUUGCAUUUUCAUUCUGAGUUGCUUGAAUUUCCAUUCUAAGCUCAUAACAGUUUUUAUAUUCUGAACUACCAUAAAAAAAACCUUUUUGUUUUCAAAGGAAGAUUAAAAGUUUUCAAAACCCCAAUUAAACCCCCAUUUUUGGUAUUUUUCUCACUUCAAUUAGCAUCAAAGUUUAAAUGAGUUAUUCACGAGCCCUUAAUGUCAAGCUUUCAAAGCUUGAGUUUGACUCAUUUAAAUAAUCAAGCUUAAUCUCAAGCUUAAAUUUGUUUGUUUAAUUAAACAAAUGAACUUAAAUGAUUAAUUAACAAGUUGAACUUGAAUAGUUCACAAAUAGUUUGUCUUAUUCACAUCCCUAACUCUUCAUUUUUUUAUCCAUAGGAAUUGAAUAAGAUAUAAAAAAAUUUAGAACACUCAGACACCCUGCUUAAUCAACUAAGUUAGACACCUUUAGUCCCUAACUCUUCAUAUGGUUAUAAUCAUAUUCUAGUAACAAUAUGUUUCAUUUCACUACCUUACUAAAUUACAGGACUGACUUCAUUAUUUUGCAACACCCUUUACAUCACAUCAUUCAUUCAUAAAAUUUGCAUUAGUUAAAUAAAAUUAUUCAUCAUCAACAACUAUGUAAUGUAUACCACCAUGCAAUCAAAGGAUAAGCAAUUAAGAAAAUAUUUAAGCUUAUAUAAUCCAAGUAGCAUGAUUGCCUUAAUUGGUACAUAAUGCAAGGCAUAAAAACCAAAAAGUGGCAGUAUGUGUAAUAACAAAAUGAAACAAAGGAAGGAGAAAAAAUUAUUUGUGUGUUACAAAUAAAGAGGAGGAAGAAGGAAUAAUUUAAAAAUAACUCCAUAUAUUAUUUGUUCUAUUAUUUUAUCCAAUGAAUUGUGAAGAAAAUAGAUGCAUUAGUAACUAAUUAUCUAUAAAAUUAUAUGAAUUGGUCCAAUAUAUUAUUUAUUUAUUUUGUAAUUGAAGAAUUUUCUCAUGAUUAACUUAGAUGAAUAAUGAAUAAGUUAAUUAUUUUGUUGCUCCUAAUUUAACCUGGUGUGUCUAUAACUCAUGGUUCAGGUUGACCCAUUCUCUUAAUCUAACUUUGUUUGUUCAUUGAGUUGCUCUUUAAUAUGGGUGGGCUUAUUAUCAACAUGGCCAGUAAUAAUGGGAAUUGAAUCAUGCACUCUCAUAAGUGUAUCCUAGAUCCCACUAUUCCGUUUGAAAUUAUUUGAUUGCCUUUAAUCAAUUAGCACUAUCUUCCCCAACCCAUUCGCGAUGUCUCCCUCCUACGAAGGUUGCUCCCUUCCUCCUUCGUCUCAAACCUGCAUAUCCUCGUUCCCUUCCUUCUUCGUCAUUGAAGGCAAGCUUCUUCCUUUCUGGUGGGGUUGGGGUUGGGUUCUGGUAGGGAUGGGUUUUGGGGGUGGCUUCUGGUAGGGGUGGUUUCCGGUGUGGAUGGGGUCGCAUUUCAAAAUGCUCAUUCUGUAACCAAAAAAUGCUUUCGGAAUGAGCUUUCCAUAAGCAAAAAAAGCUUCAAUUUUUCAUAAGCCAAAAAAACAUUCAGAAUAGUUGUUCUGGAAGUACUUUAGCUUAAGCAACGACUAUUCCAUAAGCAAAUUUGUAAAUCCAAAACAUCCUGUCUAGAAGUGUAUUUUAUAUAUUUUGUAAGGGGGGUUCCAAAAAUUAGUAUUGGGCUUACAAAAAGCCCAUUAUGGAAGCAACAUCUGCAAUCCAAAGUAGCCUUUCCAAAAGUGUAUUUUGCAUCUUUCAAAAAGUACGAUUUUGGCUUAUGGAAUGACCAUUUCGAAAACAAAAUUGCAAUCCAUAAUAGUUUUUUGGGAGUACAUUUUGUACCUUCCAAAUGUUCAUUUGAGACAACAAUAUUUUUACUUACGAAAUAGGUGUUCCAUAAGAUUUUUCCUUCUGAAAUGGUCAUUCCAUAAGUGAAUUUAUCCCUUACGGAAAGCCUAUUUCGGAAACAAGUUUACAACAUGAACGUGAAUGCACGUUAAAAUGUACCUGCAAAGUGGAGAGUUAGAGAAGGAGAGGGACUUUUGCGGUGUUGAGUUGGACUUGCUUUGUACCUUCAAUGGUUGCGAGAAAAAGAGUUGGAGAAGAUAAGAAGAACUGGAAAAGGGGUUUAGACUUGCGCUAUAGGAAGAGAAGAACGAGAAUGGGCUGCAACUACGAGAGAAAGAAGGGAAACCGAGGAUGAGGAUAGAAAGGGUAGGUUGGGGUUUAUUAAAAAAUGGGAGAUGCAUGAUACAUUUAGGGAGGUGCAGAAUUCCAGUAAUGACCAACUCAAGUCCAAUUAAUGGUGACAUCAUAAGUUAAUGACUUAGUGUCACUUUUGAUCCAUUAUGUUUCGCAAUUAUUUUGUUUUAAUACAUUGAGUUUAAAAUGUUUCAUUCCAAUCCUUUAUGUUUUUGAAAUAUAUUGUUUUGACUCUUUUUCUAAUUUUCUAUUUGAAAUGUUAGUUUUUUGUUAAUAUUUAAAUUUCAAAAUAAUUAAUUUAUGACAGUGGUGAUUAAAAAUCGUCACAAUAUUUAAAUUAAUUAUCUUAUUAUAAAUAUAAUUAUUUAAACAUUAAUUGUAGCAAUUUUUAAUUCCAACAAAUUUCUUAUUAAAUUUUUAUAAAUGAUUCUUCAUCCUUGAAGAUUCAAUCUUCAUUCCACAAAUCAACAAAUGCAGUUUACAAAUAGCAAGAACAAUUUUUAUUUGCAAGAAACAUAGAGAUGUUCACUCAAUAAUGAUAUAAAACUUGUUCUUUUUUACACAACAAAACACAAUGAGCCCUUUUUUUUUUUAUCACAUAUGACGAAAGCAACAGCUCCAGGGUCAUUAAUUAGCUUUGCAAACGGGAUCUGAUAAUCACAACCGUGGUUGAUAAUCCUCCAAUGUAAUUUGUGUUUAUAAAUUUUAUUUUUUACUCCUUUAUAUACUAUUCAUUUUCUAAAAAAGAUUACUCAUGUAUGUAACUAAAGAUUAUAUUUUUUGUUUCUGUUUAAAAAAAUGUUUUCUUAUGUUAAUUUUUUUUCUUAAUCGAUGCUUUAAUGAUAUAAGUAAUUAACUAUUUGCUCCUGCAAUGUAGUUUAAGUGUUAUGCUACAUUGUUAGUUUUUAUAUAUGCAUGUGGGAAGGUUCACUUGGAACAAGUUGCAGUGCAAACUUGGAGUCUAAUAUACAUAUAACCAUUAAUGGAAGCCUUCAUUCCAAUAGACAAUAUAUAUAAGUUGUUUCGUGCUUAUAAAAUUGUAAUGUUUUUUGUAAAGGAUGUUUAAGUGUGUCAAAUAUGUUAUAGCAAGGCAAGGUACGUAGCAGUAAACUUUAAAUGAUGAGUCAAGCAUUUCCAGUAAAUCUACUCUAAUUGCAUGUUUACAUUGAAAUUUUAAAGUAUUAUUCAUUUUAUGUUAGUAGUCCUACAGCUGGCUACUAGCUAGCAUGAAUGUUUAUGUUGUUAUUUUGUGGAGAAAGUCAAAUAAUUGUUUUAGGUGAUUAAUUUCACGCAUUUAGAUAUGGAUGCUGAAAAUUCUUAAGUCAGACUUUGAAUUGUUUCAUGUUCAUAUUAAUAUUCAUAUAAAGAGAUAAACAAAUAUGUAACUUAGCUCUAUUUUUGUUUUGGUGAAUUAGCUCUAUUUAUUAUAGUCUAAUAAUAAUGGCUGCAUGUUGGACUAAAUAGCAGAAAUAUACUUUGCGGAGAUCAUUAAUUGUGAUCAAAAUUGUGGCAUUUUUUUAUUACCACUCAUAAAAUUAUCACCAUGAAAACCCUACUAAUUACGCAUUUAACGAUCCUCAAUUAUUUCAGUAAAAUAAAUUUUUGUCUACCUUAAUUUUUUUUUUCUGUAAAAUUCUCCUAUAGUUAAAUUUACAAUAGAAAUUUUCAAACGAUACUUUUUUUAAGUAAAUAAUUAAUUAAAUUUAUGCAAAAUAAUUAAAUUAGGUCAUAUCAAAUUUAAUAUGAAUUAGAUUAUUAUUUUAAUACUUAUUUACUUACAUAAAAAUAUUUAUUUUUUAAAAAAUAUAAUUAUUCACAUGAGAUUUAUAGCAAAUAAUUUUUUAACUUAAUAUUUUUAUAACUUAUUACAACUUUUUUAAACAUUAUACACCAUUGUUUUAUUUUUUGCAAUUUAUUUUUCUGUAGUUAAGGUACAACUUUGAUGAGGAAAAUGGACCAAUAUUAUAGAUAAAUCACAUUAGUCAAAAAAAUGUGAAUAAGAUGAUUUAUUAAAAAUCAUAUCACCAUUAAUUUAAUGUUUUAUAUAAAAGACAGGUUUGAUAAUGAGUUUAUAGUUUAGGAAAUUUAAAUUAAGUGAAGGGUAAAAUGUCAUGAAUAAGUUUGAAAAUUCAUAUCUUAUUUUUAGGUAUUGAGAGAAGGAUAAUGAAUUUUAAUGAUUUUAAUAUUGUUUAUUUGAAUUUGUGCAUUCGUUCAAUGAAUUUUAUUUUUCAAUAAAAAUAUCAAAUGUAGAAAAUAAAAUAAAAGAUUUUUUCUUUUUCACUAUUUUGAUUCUUAAUUUCAUAAAUAUUUUAAAUAAAUUUUAUAUUAAAAUUAAAAAUAUAAUAAAAAUAUUUGUUUUAAUCAAACGUGUUUUUAUUUUUUAUAUGAUUUUGAAAAGAAAUUAAAAGAGAGAAAAUACAAAAUUUUACUCACAAUAUAAAUUUUUUUCAUGAUAUAAAAAAAGAAAAUAGGAUUAAUAAAAUUUUGUAUGAUAAAAUAAUUAAUAGUAAAUUUAUUUAUUCUUUCUUUUACUUAUCAUUAUUUUAAAAAUAUAUAAAAUUUCAUCAAAAAUAAAUAUAUUGUAAUUCUUCCUCAAGUUAAAUGAUAUAUAAAGUUAUAUUUUCUUAACUCUAAUUUUUCUUUAUAUAUAUAUAUAUAUAUAUAUAUAUAUAUAUAUAUAUAUAUAUAUAUAUAUAUAUAUUUUGUUAAAUUUCCCUUUACUUCCAAAUAAAUAAUAAUUUUCAUUUUCCAAAACAAAAUUAGGUGAAGAGAUGAUUUGGAAAAAUAAGUAAAAUUUGAGAUAAUUAUUUUUAAUUAUAUAAAAAUUUCUAAACAAAAAUUGUAAAUGUUUAUCUGUCAUUAUUUUUCUGAAGUUUUAAAGUUAUUGUUUAAAAAAAAUUACACCUCCUACACAUAAUUUGUCCAGUGUGUCGCACAGAAACAUGUACUAGUGUAUGAAUAUAAGAAUAACACAUCCUUAUAUAAGUAAUUUGGUGUGAUCAUUUAUAUUUUCUUUUUCUUUUAUGUGAUUCUCAUCAUAUAAUAUAAACGGUAAUAUUAAUAUAUCGUUAGUUUGAGUAAAAUUAAGUUUAUUUUUUAAAAAUAAAAUCUAAGAUUCAAAUGUUAUAAAUAAAUAAAAAAUAUGAUUAAAAAAAAGCCAUCUAAUUUUUUUUGACAAAGGUUAAUGAUAAGUUUAAUCUGAGCAAUAACAUGACAGUAGAAGCAACCGACUGCAACUCGUCUACUUGAAUAUCUUCCUAAUAAUUGUUUCAACUUUCAAGCCUCGUGUGCUUUGACAUUUAUGCUCCAUAUCCUGAAAAUUUUGAUAAGAUAAGGGACCAAUCUAUACACAGUCCCAAGGAGAUUUGCAAGUAAGAAGAGAAAAAAAUAAAAUUCCAGACCCAUUGUUGGUGAAGGCGAAAUGUGUAGUGGGUUGUCAACGCAAUGCAAUGGUUCACAGUGUGCUGGUCUUAUUGAUGUUUUUUGGUUGCAGGUUCAAUGGUGGUUCUGAUGUAGAGAAGAAGAUGAAAGGGCCAAGGAGGAGAGAAUGGAACAGAGGAAGAAGAAGAGGGUAGAUGAGGAAAGAGAGAAAGAAAAAUCCAAAAAGAAAAUAAAAAUCCCAGCCAUUGAUUUUAAUUUUAAAAUAUCUAAUAAUUUCAAUUAGUUUCCCACUAUGCCAAUCUCGUAAAACUUUCGUCUGGCACCGUGCCUCGCUGUUGAAGGGUUCCCAUGCUAGCAUCUGCCAACACGAUCUGACAUUUCAACUAGGGGUGGGUAUAUCGGUCGGUUUAGUCCGUUUAAGAUCUGACAUGUGAAAUCAAUAUUUUAAGCUUAUUGGGUAAAUCUGGUUGUAAAAUAGAAAGAUUUUUUUUCUUUUUUUUAGAUUUAUAUUGGUUUCCUAAUCCGGUAAAUAAACGAAUUGGUCCGUGGGUUCAAUUAAUAAUUUAAAAAUAAAAAUAAAAAUAUAUUUUUAAUUAUUUGGUAGGUUCGCAAGCAAGAGAGGGGCAACACACGUCAACUGAAGAAGAGAAAGUAAUCUUGUGGAUCUCGUGACAGAAUGAGAGCUGGAGAAGGAGUGAGAGUUAAAAAGAAGAGACUGCCAAGUAUAAAGUCUCAACUCAAAUACUAAAUUUAUGUAAUUUUUAUUUUAAAAUUAAUUUUAUCUUAUUAGUAAAUCUGUGUAUAAAAUUCGUUAAAUUUGCAUACUUAACGAAUCAAACUCAAAUAUUAUUUAUAAUUAUAUGGAUUUAUAAAAAAAUAAAUUGAUAAUAUGCUCAAUCCACGAAAAUAACGGACCGUCCCCGCAAACCUGAAUAGUCAUCCCUAAUUUCAACGGAGUGGAAAGUGGGAAACCAUGAAACUUGCUACGUACUGUGAAAUUAAAAGGUCCGUACUAAUGUACGAAAUUAAUAAUCUUCUCCUCCCUUGUCGUCAUUUCUCACCUCAUCAUAUACAUAAUAAUACAUUAGUACUUUUUUAGGAGGACAGGCCAUAUAUAUUUUUAACACAUUUUUAAUAUUAUUUGUUGUUAAUUAGUUUUUUAAUAAAUUAUAAGUUAAGUUAAAAUUUAUUAAAUUUACAAAACUAUAAGAAAAAAACAUUAAAUAAGAUGUAGGAUCUACAAAAUUUAUAAUUUAUAAUAAAUUUUAACUAAUAAAUUUUAACUAACAAAUUUUCAGCAUUUUUCUAUUCUUUUAGACUACAAGUAUUGAUUAAGUUAAAACAACCAUGUGUUAAUGGUUCCUAUAGUAAUAUUAUUAGGAUAGAAUAUAAUUAUUUUUGGUACAAAAAUACAUGGGAUUUAGAUAAAAAAAAAUCCUGUUAAUUAAUGUUACAAGAUACAUUAUUUAAACAUUUAAAAAUUAACAUUACAUUUAGCAUUUCAAGUUUUCAACGGAGUAGAAAGUGGGAAACGAUGAAAUUUGCUACUCUUAAUUUAAAAGGUUCGUACUAUAAAUUAUAAUGAGAUUCGUCUUUACUUUCGCACCCUCUAUACAUUAUAGUAAUUUAAAGUGCAUGUGAUAUGGUAUGCGAAUAUUUCUACCUGUUGUUUAAAAUUUAUUUAGAAUAUAGUACGACACUGAAACAUUAUUAUCUCAUAAAAAAAAUUUAUAUAAUUAAAAAUAAAUUUAAUUUAAUACAUUGAUAAUAUAAUUUUUUUAUAUCAUCAAUUAAUUAAAAAUCAUUCUAAAUAUAAAUUUUAAAAUAACUAUUAUAAAAGUAAAAAAAAUUAAUAUACACAACAAUUCAUAAUUAGAUGACAUUGCGUUUUAAUUAAUUCAUUGAAAAUUAGUGCCUUUUAUAAUAAAUAAUCUAGAAGUGAUAUUUAAAGUGGUUUCUAAUUAGUUAUUAGUAUACAUUUUUACAGUAGCAUAGUUUUAAAAUUAAACUUCCAGUAUAUGUUUUUAUUUUCUAGAUAUACAUGCAGAUUAAAAAUAUAUUUUAAAACUAAAGGAGACUUUUUUGUUAUAUAAUAAUAAUAAUAAUAAUAAUAAUAAUAAUAAUAAUAAUAAUAUAAAGUGAGAGAUGGAAAUGUAUGAGGGGACGAUGUUCGAUUUAUUUUUAUGAUGGGAACAUAAUUUUUUAAAAUAAAAAAUAAUUAGAAAAUUUUAUUUAAAAUAUUUUUAUUAUUAAUAUAUCUCUUAUUAAAAUUAUAUAUAUAUAUAUAUAUAUAUAUAUGAGAUUGCUAGCAUACUCUAAUGUUAGAGUAUUUAAAUAACCUACAUCAAAUUAUUAGAAUAAAAAGCUUAACUAUUUAUUUUGUGAUAAUAAAUUUAUUUAAAAAAAUAUGAUAAUUUAAUAUUUAUAUUUUUAAAAUUCAUUUAUUUAUCUCUUCAACUCAUUCUCUCUCCUCUCUUUUUCUCUCACAUCAUUUAAUAUUUAUAUUUUCAAAAUUAAAAUUUAAAAUAUUUACCGAGAGAAUGAAUGAGGAAAAUAAAUAAAUGAGUUUUAAAAAUAUAAACAUUAAAUUAUCAUAUUAUUCUUAAAUAAAUUUAUUAUCACACAAUAAAUAGUUUAAUCUUUGAUCUAAAUAAUUUGGUGUAGGUUAAAUACUCUAACAUGAGAGAGUAAGUUAACAAAUCAUUUUAUGAAUGUACGUAUGGGAAGGAAGAAUGUAAUAGAAAACAAAAAAGAAAGAAAAAGAAGGAAAUUAAAAAUAAUAAAUGUAAUUAAUGAUUUAAGAAAAAAAUAAAAAUAUAGUAUACAAACGAGAAAAUAAUUACAGUCAGACUCAGAAACUGUCAUGAUAUUUAUUCAUCUCUAAGUAAAACAUAAUUUUAUUUUAUUUUAUUUUCCCCUCAGAAUUUUAAAAACUCAAGUGUCUCAUGUAUAGCCAAAAAAACCAUAGACGCAUGGUAGUUGGAGAGCCGAGAGCCUACAAUUAUUUCUGAGACAAAAGAUGGAAGAUAAAGUUUACAUAAUUGUUCUCUCUCCAAUUUCUAUUAUAAGAAAAAAAAUAAUUUCAUAUUAAUUAUAAAAUUAAUUAAUUUUAUUAAAUUAUGUUAAUUCCAAAUAAAAAUAAGUUUUUUAAAAAAAUUAUUUUUCAUUAAAACUUGAUAUCAAACAUAAAAAAAAAAUUAUCCUAUCAAAUGAAAGACAUUUAUUUAAAAAUAGUUUUAUUAAAUACGGUAAAGUUAAUUAACUUUUGUUUAUAUAAAAAAAAGCAAUUUUUUUGUUGCUUAUUAAAAAGACCAGUGGGAGUACUAAUUAAAACAAAACUAUGGCUGCUAUGUAACAUGGCACCAGAGAGUCUCAAUCCUUAGAGAAAUUAAAUACCAAACUUUGACAUUUCACAGAGUGAUGGUAGUAAUAAAUGACAAGGAAUGAGACCCAGCAUGGACCCAGUCCUUUGACCACUAUUAUUGUCCAGCUCAAUUGAAAUUUUUUUAUUAAGAGUUUAACUUAGUUGAAUAUGAUAAAUAAAUUAUUAUAAUUUUUUAAUAUUUAUUUUUAAUUUUUAUGAAUAAAAAACUAUUACAAUCUCAGUUCAUUUUCUUGGGACACGUAAUCAAGUUUAAUAACUAUUUCUCAUAGCUUAAAAAUUCAGUUAUGUCGAGUAUUUAUGUACAAAUUAGUUAGAACAAUAGGCGCGUAUAGUGGUCGCCCUCUAAGACAUAUAAUUGUGAAGAUCGAAGAGAAGCUUUAUACAAUUAUUAAUGAUAAAACUAUCAUUGUUAUAUAACAUGGGGCCAUAAAUGAGUGCAUGGAUUGAAUGAUGCAAAAUUGUUACAACUUAAUUAAUUAUCUUGAGUUUUAAUUUUAAAUAUAUAUUUGUGUUAAAUACUCCGGAAAGAGUUUUAUGUUCAUAAUUAUUAUAUUUAACUUGAACAAUAUUAACUCAACUGAUGAUGCAUAUAUAGUUUAUACAAAAAAUAUAUAUAUAACAUGGGACCUAGGCGAUGGCAAAACGGGUUGGAUCUAUUCGAUCAACCCAUUUUGGGCUUUUUUUUCGAAUUAGGUUGGAAUUUUCAAUCCUUCAACUGCUUUGCUAUGUUUUGAUCCGCUACAAAAUGGGUUGAGAGGAAAGUAGAACGGACCAACUCUCUAACCCGUUUUUUUUAUUAAGAAAUAAUUUUAGUAUUUAUUUUGAUAUUUUAUACUAAUAUUUAUUAAUUUUCAAUUAGCUUAUUUUUUGUCUAAAUAAAUUAUUAUUAAAAAUUUAAGGUAAUACAUUUAAUUUUUUAGUAAGUAUUUAUUAUUUAAUAUUUAUAAAAGAUAAAAUUAAUUAAAAUACAUUUAUAAUUUAUUUUUUUAGUUUUGACAUGACAAAAACGAAAUGAACUGAACACUUUGAAUCUAUAUAUAAAAUACGGGAUGAGAUGGGAUGGAUUGAUCCGUUUUUUAUGGAUUGAUCCCUUUUUGCUAGCCCUAAUGGGACCAAAGAGUCACUAUCCUUUAGAAAAAUUCACACCAAACUUUUGACAUUACAGGCAGGGACAAUGCGAGUAAUAAAUGGCAUAGAAUGAGACCCUAGUCCUCUGGCCACUAUAAAAAGGGAUGAUUGUGUGUGUUACAUGCAUCAGCCACCACCAUUGACUAGUAUCAUUAAGAUGGCUAAUUCCUACUUAUCCUUGCUUGUCUUGAUCCUUGUAGCUCUGCUCCUCACCCCUCAAGGGCUUGCUGAUGAAUCUGAUUCUUACUAUAAGCCACCAGUUUACAAGAAACCACCAGUGUACAAGCCCAAGCCCAAGCCACCCAUUCACAAGCCCAAGCCACCCGUUUACAAGCCCAAGCCACCCGUUUACAAGAAACCCCCUUAUGGUAAGUACCCACCAGUUCAAGACAACGAUCACUUCUAAACCAUGCAACAAGGCAUGUUAAUGUUAACUAUCUACUAAAAUAAAGAGGUUCAGUUAACCUACUACGUACGUUGCUCCUUUUAAUUCCUAAAUCGUAAUUUACAACUUUGUAGGGAUGAGACAUUCUUGGCUAGCUCUGCACUUCAAUCCUUUAUUUGUACAAUGCUAUGGCCAAGUCAAUACCAUGCAUCUUAUCUAUGUGUGUCAUUGAACGAAGUAGUUGCGUGAAAAUGAUGCUUGUACUAUGAAUAAAUAAUAAAAGAACUUUAUCAUUUCAAGAUUGUGCUGUUUAGUUUAUUUGCUGAACCACCGUUACUGACCAUAAAUAAUACACAUGCAGGUCUUGUUUAGGAUAAACUUAAUUAUCCGUAA
rnacentral:lncRNA from 1 species